rnacentral:rRNA from 1 species
UGGGGAAUCUUAGACAAUGGGCGCAAGCCUGAUCUAGCCAUGCCGCGUGAGUGACGAAGGUCUUAGGAUCGUAAAGCUCUUUCGCCAGAGAUGAUAAUGACAGUAUCUGGUAAAGAAACCCCGGCUAACUCCGUG